UACGGAGGGUGCGAGCGUUGUCCGGAAUCACUGGGCGUAAAGGGCGCGUAGGCGGCUCGGUUAGUCAUCGGUGAAAGUUCAGGGCUCAACUCUGAAUCGGCCGGUGAUACUCCCGUGCUCGAGCACUGUAGAGGCAGGUGGAAUUCCGGGUGUAGCGGUGGAAUGCGUAGAGAUCCGGAAGAACACCGGUGGCGAAGGCGGCCUGCUGGGCAGUAGCUGACGCUGAUGCGCGACAGCGUGGGGAGCAAACAGG
rnacentral:rRNA from 1 species